rnacentral:rRNA from 1 species
GAACGCUAGCUACAGGCUUAACACAUGCAAGUCGAGGGGCAUCAGGAAGAAAGCUUGCUUUCUUUGCCGGCGACCGGCGCACGGGUGAGUAACACGUAUCCAACCUGCCCUUUACUCGGGGAUAGCCUUUCGAAAGAAAGAUUAAUACCCGAUAGUAUAAUGAUUCCGCAUGGUUUCAUUAUUAAAGGAUUCCGGUAAAGGAUGGGGAUGCGUUCCAUUAGGUUGUUGGUGAGGUAACGGCUCACCAAGCCUUCGAUGGAUAGGGGUUCUGAGAGGAAGGUCCCCCACAUUGGAACUGAGACACGGUCCAAACUCCUACGGGAGGCAGCAGUGAGGAAUAUUGGUCAAUGGGCGCUAGCCUGAACCAGCCAAGUAGCGUGAAGGAUGAAGGCUCUAUGGGUCGUAAACUUCUUUUAUAUAAGAAUAAAGUGCAGUAUGUAUACUGUUUUGUAUGUAUUAUAUGAAUAAGGAUCGGCUAACUCCGUGCCAGCAGCCGCGGUAAUACGGAGGAUCCGAGCGUUAUCCGGAUUUAUUGGGUUUAAAGGGAGCGUAGGUGGACUGGUAAGUCAGUUGUGAAAGUUUGCGGCUCAACCGUAAAAUUGCAGUUGAUACUGUCAGUCUUGAGUACAGUAGAGGUGGGCGGAAUUCGUGGUGUAGCGGUGAAAUGCUUAGAUAUCACGAAGAACUCCGAUUGCGAAGGCAGCUCACUGGACUGCAACUGACACUGAUGCUCGAAAGUGUGGGUAUCAAACAGGAUUAGAUACCCUGGUAGUCCACACAGUAAACGAUGAAUACUCGCUGUUUGCGAUAUACAGUAAGCGGCCAAGCGAAAGCAUUAAGUAUUCCACCUGGGGAGUACGCCGGCAACGGUGAAACUCAAAGGAAUUGACGGGGGCCCGCACAAGCGGAGGAACAUGUGGUUUAAUUCGAUGAUACGCGAGGAACCUUACCCGGGCUUAAAUUGCAGUGGAAUGAUGUGGAAACAUGUCAGUGAGCAAUCACCGCUGUGAAGGUGCUGCAUGGUUGUCGUCAGCUCGUGCCGUGAGGUGUCGGCUUAAGUGCCAUAACGAGCGCAACCCUUAUCUUCAGUUACUAACAGGUCAUGCUGAGGACUCUGGAGAGACUGCCGUCGUAAGAUGUGAGGAAGGUGGGGAUGACGUCAAAUCAGCACGGCCCUUACGUCCGGGGCUACACACGUGUUACAAUGGGGGGUACAGAAGGCAGCUAGCGGGUGACCGUAUGCUAAUCCCAAAAUCCUCUCUCAGUUCGGAUCGAAGUCUGCAACCCGACUUCGUGAAGCUGGAUUCGCUAGUAAUCGCGCAUCAGCCACGGCGCGGUGAAUACGUUCCCGGGCCUUGUACACACCGCCCGUCAAGCCAUGGGAGCCGGGGGUACCUGAAGUACGUAACCGCAAGGAUCGUCCUAGGGUAAAACUGGUGACUGGGGCUAAG